rnacentral:misc_RNA from 1 species
GAUGUAGAACGUAGCGAAAUGCGAUAAGUAAUGUGAAUUGCAGAAUUCAGUGAAUCAUCGAAUCUUUGAACGCACCUUGCACUCCUUGGUAUUCCGAGGAGUACGCCUGUUCGAGUGUUAUGAAGCUCUCAAAACGCAAUUGGCUUAAAACCUGAUUGUUGUUUUGGAUUUGAACUUUGCCGUGUUAUAACGGCUGGUUUUAAAAGUAUUAGCUGGUACUAGAACGAAUUGGUUCUACUCAACGUGAUAAUUAUCUGUUCGUUGAGGACAUUCCUUUCACGAGGAAUGGCCAUAGUAAAUUCAAUGGACUGCUUCUAAUCUGGCUUUAAUUCUUUAUUGGAUUAACCACUUUUCAAAUCUGACCUCGAAUCAGGUGGGACUACCCGCUGAACUUAAGCAUAUCAAUAAGCGGAGGA